GGAGAGGUGUCUGAGUGGUUGAAAGAGCCGGUCUCGAAAACCGGUAUUCGCUUUCUGCGAAUCCAGGGUUCGAAUCCCUGCCUCUCCG
rnacentral:tRNA from 1 species